GCGACACUUAGAAUUACCCGCAUUGACCCUCUUAUAUAUUCGGGAUAUGAUUACAUGGAACAUCAUGUUCAAUGGACGGCAAAUGGGAACCUUUUAAGGUAUUGAGAUGAAUGAUUUCUGCUACAUGAACCCAUCGCUGGGGAACCACGCUUAAACGCUUCCUGAGUAUCUACUAAUCACGUUCAUAUCACCGUUAUUGUAAAACGCAUGUUUCGUAAGUUUGAUUUAAAACAUUCCCCAGUCGAAGGACGUUGUUCUCAGCAAGCUACAGGAACAUGUUGCAGAUGUGAUCCCGGGACGAGAAAGUGAAACCGACUGCGCUCAGUGACGGAAGUCAAAGAAGUCGCUGGAACAGCGACUCCUGGGCACAAACUGCGAAAACCUGGAUUUUUUUAAAAAUUCUCAGAACUGUCCAAAAAAUAAUAAUAAAAAAAAAAUCGAGAAAAGACGGUUUUGUAACAAAUCCUUACAACAAUUCAUACAUUAAUGGACAUCGCUCUAACCAGUGGGCGUGGGAAUGGGAGUUUCUGGUUCAGUCAAUUAGGAAACAUGACUUGAAAAUGACAAAUGGUAAGUAUGCCGAAUAAAUGGGUUACAGCGAGGAAGUUAAAAAUAGUGACGUACCUUUACCGACGCACCUCGUGAAGAUAUUUAUUGAAAACGAUUUAAAAAAUGUGAAUAGAGAAUUUAAAUCAUGGAUAAUGUUGUUAUAGACCUACCGUGGUGGGUUUGCGCUUCCAUUGAUCGCGGGAGUUAAGCCGGUGUAGCGCAGGUUGGCGUGCGGAGUCUAUAAUGGCACUGCAGAAAUGGCUAUAUAUAUACAUCAUAGGGGGAUUCCCGGAUUUUCCUAAUGGAUUUCCUUGCAGUCAUAAGGAAACUUAAGAGAAUUUACAAGAAAUGCGGCCUCAUUUGGAAACCAAAGGUACACAUACGCAAUGAGCGAGACGGCGUUAUGGAAAGAUACUGUUGAUUGUAGUGGUGGUGGCGGCGAAGUAGGAGAUGAUGAUGCUUUCCAACAGAUUUUUUUGAGGACUUAUGUGUUGACACUUAUUCUGCGGCCUCUUGUUUAUUCCUGUGAAAAUACACAGUCAAUGAAUCCCUAUACAGAGGAUUAUAACAAUAUUAUUUAUCCCGUUCUACAAAAAGUUGAAAAUAUAAUUGCAAAUGAUUUACAGAACGUGACCUGCAAGACAAAACAAACAACUGCACAUGAGUGUGAAGAAAACAAUGAAAGAAGUUCCAUUCUUAAAAUGGUUUCUACCAUCAAACUAAACCUAAAUAAUAAGAAAGUAACCUGUUAUCUAAAGAAACUCAUUAGUCUUAUAAACAAUUCCCUUGGAUGUGACGUAAAGGAUGAAAACGGAACACAUUCUGAAUGUGCCCACCUCCCAGGACAGCGUUUGCCAAAGAGAAGAGACUGCAAAUUUUGUAGACUCUGCCGAGCGCAACGUGUCAUUAACGCGACGCGCUUAUGCUACGCCAAGCUGAAGGAGAAGAAAGGCUGAGAGCUGAGCUUGGGGCGUGUGGAUUCAAGGGCAAACCGCUCUCUUUGGCUGAUGGGGUUCCUGCUACCCAGGAGCUUUCAGACAGGAGCAAAGGAAAUGAGCUCAAGUGACAGGAUUCUGCAAAAAGCUCUGCGGGCUACAACCACUGCAUUUUGCAUUUUUGUGCGUCUAAUCAUAUUAUCCUAACCACAGACAUCAAACAUGACAUGUGCUCUGCUACCCUAUGCAGCUAACUCACCGAAACAUGACAAUAGAGAUUUCGACCUUCUAACAGCAUGGAGAGAGGUAACGAGUGCAGGUCAUGGGCAGCGAUGACUUGCAUCGGAGGUGGCCUUUGGACUGUUGUAGGUAUGACAUCUUGUGGUUGCAACCUGUAAUGUGAUCCGGGCAUAUCCAGUUAUGCCACGCUUCAGGUGGUGUGAGGCUUCAUCGGUUUUUAGGCAUCGAAGGGAAUGAGGCCUUCAGAGGAACGGCUCUUACAAGCUUCCUUCCGCAUAAAAAAAAAAAAAAGAAGAGAAAAACCUUGUUGCUUAUCCCCUGCAACCAGGUGUUUGUUUAGUUUCGUUUUUAAAUACCUGCCUGUAAAUGGACAUAACUCUUCUCCCAACUACAGUUAUGUGUAUCACGAUAUUUUAUCAUGUUUGAAACUACAUAGUCAAUUGUAUCCAGUUGUAGAAUCACUAUCAAGUAUACGAUACUUUGAUAUAAAUGUAUAUAUAAAGUAUAUGCUGAAUUCAUAUAAUGGCCUUAUCUCACAGUCAAGGUGACUGCAUCUGUGACAGUACAUUUUGUUUAGCCAGCAAAUUAACAGCUGUUUUUAUGAAGGACAUUUCGCAUGAUCUGCAUAAAUAUUAGAGGGUUAUGUGACGCCGUUUGGAACGACUCUCACUGUUUAUCCUUAGUACUUCGGGCACCCUGUGCAGCUUAUAAUGGCGCCUUUAGCUAAGCACCUUACAAACACAGUAUUGUAUCCUAAGCUAAACUAACGGGGGAUGGUGCUCUUACUUUCCUGAUUUCCCCAACGUGUGCUUCUGUAACUAUGUAACUCAGGCACAUAGAUCAGGGUGGCUGAGCAACAGAACAGGGGGACAAACAGAGUCAACUAUGGAUCUUUGGACUGGUAAUGAGGUUAGUGGUGAUGAAGAACGCCAAGGGAGAGGCAGUUCAGGUCAAUUUUGAGUUGUACUAUAAUAAGCUAAUACUUUAUUUAGUCAAGAUGAUGAAUUAGGAUCUGCAGUGACAUAUUACAAGUCUAAAGCGGAUUCCAAGGAAGGAAAAUUAUAGUAAUUUCCAGCAAAACAACAGAAUCCAACUAAAUCCAUUCCAACAAAGUGAGAGCUGGCAGGUGACUUCUCACUAAUUUACCAGAAUGGAAUAAAUGACUAAUUCAUACUUUUAUUGUAGACAGGAACAUUCUGCUGAUUAUUUCAUAAACACACCAUGUGUUCAAAUUAUCCUUUGAUGGUAUUAUAGUAAAUCGUGAUGUUUUCAUUGCUCCACUCCCUGCUUGGUGAAUUUUAUCUUCAUGAUUUCACUACACCGGAAUAACGUUGCUUUUGAAAACACUUUCAGAAACUGUGGCAUGUUUCACUGGUAGGAAAAAUUUGUAACUGCCUUAGCCUACUUCAAAUCAUACAUUAUUUCCUAUGUAGUAGUUUUCCAUGCUUCAUGUGCAGUCAAACAGGAUCAGCUUAACAAUCAUCUGUAAUUCUUUAAUCUUUUUAUCUCUGCUAAAGAAAGGUGACAGCAAAAUCUCUGAAUCUGUCAUUCAUAACAGUUAAUGGCUACUGCGUGAGGACAAAAGAACCUACUGGAACUAUCAGCUGAACUGUGCAAAACUGUAGCCAAUAAAGUUCUUACUGUGCUGAA